GACGAACGCUGGCGGCGUGCUUAACACAUGCAAGUCGAACGGAAAGGCCCUGCUUUUGUGGGGUGCUCGAGUGGCGAACGGGUGAGUAACACGUGAGUAACCUGCCCUUGACUUUGGGAUAACUUCAGGAAACUGGGGCUAAUACCGGAUAGGAUCUCCUGCUGCAUGGUGGGGGUUGGAAAGUUUCGGCGGUUGGGGAUGGACUCGCGGCUUAUCAGCUUGUUGGUGGGGUAGUGGCUUACCAAGGCUUUGACGGGUAGCCGGCCUGUGAGGGUGACCGGCCACAUUGGGACUGAGAUACGGCCCAGACUGCUACGGGAGGCAACAGUGGGGAGUAUUGCACAGUGGGCGGAAGCCUGAUGCAGCAACGCCGCGUGCGGGAUGACGGCCUUCGGGUUGUGAACCGCUUUCGCCUGUGACGAAGCGUGAGUGACGGUAAUGGGUAAAGAAGCACCGGCUAACUACGUG
rnacentral:rRNA from 1 species